UGGGGAAUAUUGGGCAAUGGGGGAAACCCUGACCCAGCGACGCCGCGUGAGGGAAGAAGGUUUUCGGAUUGUAAACCUCUGUUCUUGGUGAAGAGGGGAAGACGGUAGCCAAGGAGGAAGCCCCGGCUAACUACGUGCCAGCAGCCGCGGUAAUACGUAGGGGGCGAGCGUUGUCCGGAAUGAUUGGGCGUAAAGGGCGCGUAGGCGGCUUGUCAAGUCUGGAGUGGAGGUCCUAUUUUCAAGGUAGGAAUUGCUUUGGAAACUGGCAAGCUUGAGUGCAGGAGAGGUCAUCGGAAUUCCCGGUGUAGCGGCGAAAUGCGUAGAGAUCGGGAGGAACACCAGUGGCGAAGGCGGGUGACUGGACUGCAACUGACGCUGAGGCGCGAAAGUGUGGGGAGCAAACAG
rnacentral:rRNA from 1 species